rnacentral:rRNA from 1 species
UACGGAGGAUCCAAGCGUUAUCCGGAUUUAUUGGGUUUAAAGGGUGCGUAGGCGGAUUAUUAAGUCAGUGGUGAAAGCCUGCAGCUUAGCUGCAGAACUGCCAUUGAUACUGAUAAUCUUGAGUACAGUUGAGGUGGGCGGAAUGUGUCAUGUAGCGGUGAAAUGCUUAGAUAUGACACAGAACACCGAUUGCGAAGGCAGCUCGCUAAACUGUAACUGACGCUGAGGCACGAAAGCGUGGGGAUCAAACAGG